rnacentral:rRNA from 1 species
GACGAACGCUGGCGGCGUGCCUAAUACAUGCAAGUCGAGCGGACGGAUGGGAGCUUGCUCCCAGACCGUCAGCGGCGGACGGGUGAGUAACACGUGGGCAUCCUGCCUGUAAGACUGGGAUAACUCCGGGAAACCGGGGCUAAUACCGGAUAACUCUUUCCCUCACAUGAGGGAAAGCUGAAAGAUGGCAUCUCGCUAUCACUUACAGAUGGGCCCGCGGCGCAUUAGCUAGUUGGUGAGGUAACGGCUCACCAAGGCGACGAUGCGUAGCCGACCUGAGAGGGUGAUCGGCCACACUGGGACUGAGACACGGCCCAGACUCCUACGGGAGGCAGCAGUAGGGAAUCUUCCGCAAUGGACGAAAGUCUGACGGAGCAACGCCGCGUGAGUGAUGAAGGUUUUCGGAUCGUAAAACUCUGUUGUCAGGGAAGAACAAGUACCGGAGUAACUGCCGGUACCUUGACGGUACCUGACCAGAAAGCCACGGCUAACUACGUG